AGAAAACUGAUUUGCAUUCCCAGAGGA
rnacentral:piRNA from 1 species